CCCUACGGGGCGCAGCAGUGGGGAAUAUUGCACAAUGGGGGAAACCCUGAUGCAGCGACGCCGCGUGAGUGAAGAAGUAUUUCGGUAUGUAAAGCUCUAUCAGCAGGGAAGAUAAUGACGGUACCUGACUAAGAAGCCCCGGCUAACUACGUGCCAGCAGCCGCGGUAAUACGUAGGGGGCAAGCGUUAUCCGGAUUUACUGGGUGUAAAGGGAGCGUAGGUGGCAGGGGAAGUCAGAUGUGAAAACCCGGGGCUCAACCCAGGGAGUGCAUU
rnacentral:rRNA from 1 species